AAAAUAUUACUUGUAUUCAAGUCUGCAGCUGCUGGCUCAGAAGUGGUAGUCUGAGCAAAUUACAAUACUUCCCCAUAGGAUUGGCUGAGACUGUCAACUAGGCAGAGCCAGUACAAGUCCAACAUAGCCCUGGCCAAUCAGCAUCUCCUCAUAAAGAUAAAUUGAAUCAAUGCAUCUCUAUGAGGAAAGUUCAGUGUCUGCUUGCAGAGGGUGGAGACACUGAAUGGCAGUGCUGCAGACUAGGCAGUACUGCCCCAGGAAGCACCUCUAGCAGCCAUCUAAGGAGUGGCCAGUGGAGUUAUUUUCUCUGAAAAGACAGUGUUUACUGCAAAAAGCCUGAAUGGAAUGAUUCUACUUACUAGAACAAAUACAAUAAGCUGUAGUUGUUCUGGUGACUAUAGUGUCCCUUUAGGUUUGGAAGCUUAAGAGGGAUGUAUGGGAACAAAACUUGUGUGGACUGGCUGACAUUAAAAUUAGUUCAGGUAAUGCAGACGUUGGUCUCUGUGGCAUGUCCCCUUUCUUCUACACUCACUACAUACACCUUUUCUCUGUCUCUGACUACAAACCAGGAACUUCUGCCUGCUAGUAAGAAGGUAAGGAGACAAGUGGACCAGCGAGUGCUAGGGGAAAGUCCUUAGAAAGCAUGGAGUGAGCGCAUUAUUAGACGCAUUUAUGUCAAGCUCAAGGUGCUGCCUGCAUAGUAUGCCCUUAGUUGGACAGCCUGCAGGAUUGGCAGG